rnacentral:rRNA from 1 species
CCUACGGGAGGCAGCAGUGAGGAAUAUUGGUCAAUGGACGAGAGUCUGAACCAGCCAAGUAGCGUGAAGGAUGACUGCCCUAUGGGUUGUAAACUUCUUUUAUAUGGGAAUAAAAUGUUCCACGUGUGGGAUUUUGUAUGUACCAUAUGAAUAAGGAUCGGCUAACUCCGUGCCAGCAGCCGCGGUAAUACGGAGGAUCCGAGCGUUAUCCGGAUUUCUUGGGUUUAAAGGGAGCGUAGGUGGAUUGUUAAGUCAGUUGUGAAAGUUUGCGGCUCAACCGUAAAAUUGCAGUUGAAACUGGCAGUCUUGAGUACAGUAGAGGUGGGCGGAAUUCGUGGUGUAGCGGUGAAAUGCUGAGAUAUCACGAAGAACUCCGAUUGCGAAGGCAGCUCACUGGACUGCAACUGACACUGAGGCUCGAAAGUGUGGGUAUCAAACAGGAUUAGAUACCCGGGUAGUC